rnacentral:tRNA from 1 species
GGAGGGUAUAGCUCAGUGGUAGAGCACAUGCUUAGCAUGCAUGAGGUUCUGGGUUCAAUCCCCAGUACCUCCA